rnacentral:misc_RNA from 1 species
AACGCAAAUUGCGCCCGAGGCUUCGGCCGAAGGCAUGUCUGCCUCAGCGUCGGCACACCUCUCUCCCCCUCUUUCCCGUUUGGGAACUUGGAGGAGGACCUGGCCUUCGCGGCGCUUGUUUCUCACCGAAACUGGCUGCCGCGUUUGCUGAAGCGUAGAGGCUCGAACAGCGACCUUUGACCGACAAAGGUGACGGCUUGGUAGGUGGGUUUUCCCGCAUUCCUGUCGUUGCCCGGUGGUCCUGUUGGCGGCCUUCCGAAAGACCUGUGGUGCGUGCGCUUCGGCGCCUCACCCUGGUCUAGCCGUAUUCAAAUAUCGACCUGAGCUCAGGCAAGAUUACCCGCUGAACUUAA